rnacentral:rRNA from 1 species
UAACGCGUGGAUAACCUGCCUCACACAGGGGAGUAACAGUUAGAAAUGACUGCUAAUACCGCAUAAGCGCACGGCAUCGCAUGAUGCAGUGUGAAAAACUCCGGUGGUGUGAGAUGGAUCCGCGUCUGAUUAGGUAGUUGGUGGGUAACGGCCCACCAAGCCGACGAUCAGUAGCCGACCUGAGAGGGUGACCGGCCACAUUGGGACUGAGACACGGCCCAA